rnacentral:lncRNA from 1 species
CCCACUUCUCUGAGUCGGCUAGCUGACCAGGGGUGCUUUUCCCUCACAGCCCGCAGCAGUAAUUACUUCUUGUUUAUCAUUUUUUUUCAGCCCUCUCUGAUCUGUUUCCUCCACUGCAAAUAGCAAGUUGUGAAGAUUAAGCGAUCAAAAUGUUACACUGUGCAUAGACUCUGGUAAGUACUUAGAAUUCGAUAGAGACUUAAAAUGAAAUCACAACUUCAGUUUGCUCAGCUCUGAGGUGCAAUUCUAUGGUUGGGUUAUUGUGAGGACUUCGGGGCAUAAUUAUGGUUAAAGAGUCGUGCAGAUAGCCGCAUAGAUGCGAUCUGUGAUUACACUGCUGGGAGAGGCCGGGAAAGGGGCCCCGGGUGCUCCCACCGGUUAACCCAAGAAGGGAGAGGAAGACAGCUGGGAUGAAGGAGAAGAGAAACAAUGGCAGCGCAAGGCAUGCGGCGUUGGGACCGUGACGUUGCUGCAGAGUAGGAGACACUGACUGCGCGUGUGACAGGUGGAGCCCCGCACCGGAGCUGAAGAGGACCGCGAGUUGCGCAAAUGUGAAAGUGCGGGGGAGGGGUGUCAUUAAAACAGUCAAGAAACGUAGAGAGGUGUUGGGUGUCAAGGGCUGGGGUGCGGCCAGGCCUGGCGAUGCCUCCUCCCCGCAGGACAAUGCCCCUAGGCUGGGGGCGGCAGCAGGGGUGGCCCGGGGUCUCCCCUCCUCUGACCCCCCGCCGGGACCCGGGAGUGGUGCAGCCCCAAGGCUUUGGAGAUGAGAGGGGCGAGGAUGCCGGAGCCCGGGAGCCGGGAGUGGCGCCUGCCCAGGAGAAAGAGGCGCUCAGCCUGGGGCCACGUGGGGUCGACAGGCACCGAGCAAAGGCCGGGCUGCUUUGCUGCUGCAUCGCUGAUGUGUGCCAGAUCAAUCCUAGGCAGAGUGCACUCGCGAACUCUCACCCGAUCCGCUGUACAACCUCGGGAUAUAGUAUGUCCCCAGUUUACAGGGUAGAAACUGAGGCUUCCAGAGUCUAAGGAAUUACCCACGAUGCACCUAGUCAGCCAAAUCACAGGUGAAUUGUAAAUAGUUUUUAAAAAAUCAAUGAAAUGAGCUGGGCCUGGUGGCACACACUAGUAAUCUCAGCACUCAAGAGGCUGAGGCAGGAGGAUCAUCAUGAUUUCAAAGCCAGCCUGGACGACAUAGGGAGAUCCUGUCUCAAAAAAGCAAAAAAACACAAAAAAACAAAAAAAUCCAUGAAAUGAACCCAGUCAGGGCUAAUCAUCAGGGACAUACAAACGAAAGCAACAAUGGGAUCCCAUUUUUCCAGACUUAGAUGGCAAACAUUUUAAAGAUCUACCUGUUUAAGUGAAAGUGUGAUGAAAACCUCAACACAGCAAUUCCACUUUGGGAAUUAGAAAUGAUUACACAGAAAUGGGUGUGGUAGCAAAUUCAAGCCCAGCCUGGCAACUUAGCACAGACAGGAUCCUGUCUUUAGAAAGUGAAAAGGUCUGGGGAUGAAGCACAGUGUAAAUGCCCUGGGUUGAAACCCAGUACCAUUACCACCACCACCACCACCACCACCAUCAUCAUCGAAGGUAUGUGCAAUGUUACCCUUCCUGGGAAAGACAGGAAAGGGAUUGGGGGUUUUCUUUGGGGGAAACGGGGUAACUGAAAGGGAGGGCUUGAAUCCAGGACCUUCUCACUGAGCUGCAUUCCCAGCAUUUUAUUUAUGUAUUUUUUACAAAUUUUGAGACAGGGUCUUGCUAAAUCACUACAUUGCCCAGGCUGGGCAAUUUUCACCCUCCUACCUUACUCUCCCAGAGUGCAGGGAUUCCAGGCUUGCACUGCCAUCCUGCACUAGGGAUUGGUUUUUGAAGUGUGGUUUGCCUAUUGUUACUGCAGUGCCAGAAAAUGGGUACCUGAAGGUCAGGUCAGCGUGACCCUAUGGUGAUCCUGACCCCCAGCGAGUGUGAGGGACCCCAGCACUGGGCACCUUCAUGACCUGUCCUCUGUUCCAAGUGUGAGUGUGUUCACCUGUGGCUGAAUCCCCAGGGACGCAUGACUUUUCUUCCAGGGCCUCUUCCAAGAUGUAUAGAAGCAAAAACUUUAAGGAUGACUUCCUAGAAAUGACUCUUUUAAAUACAGUUCCUAUGGGAUGCUAAGAUUUCUACCUCCCCUGCCCCCGUGACCCCUUCCUGAGGGAAACUGCCGCUCCCAGGCCAUGACUGGGGUCAUGGUCUCUACGAAUCUCUGCUGAGACCUCCUCCCUGCGAGGGACUGAACAGCAGAGGAGCCCAACACAUAAAAACGUACAUGAAUGCACUUUAGAAAACUCUGAAGGUUAAUAAAAUGUUCCUUCUGAUUGUUAAUACAAAGCAGAAUGAUCUGACUCCUCUUUUGCUCCCUCUCCGGUAGCCACCCUGCCGCCCAGCGCUGUUUCCCCACCCCCACCUUUAGGUACCCCCAGCGCUGCUCUUUGUCAUUCCUGGGCCCUGGAGGGACCUCCUGAGCUGGCUGCAGAAACUGGGCUGGGGGCUGGGGGCAGUGUGACAAUCUUUGCAUGUGGAUAUCCUUCGAGUUUACAAAACACAGCUGCAGAUGUUAUCUGCCUUCAUCCUUUCCAUCUCUGGUCUUAGGAAUUCUUACACCCAUUUCGCAGAGCGGACAAGUGAGAAGGGCACCAAUUUAUAGUCAUCCAUCAGGAUGUAGCCUGUCCAUCUAUACUAACAAGCCCCUCGUUUUUAGCUGGCCCUUUGGCCACCCAGAAUGCAGAUUUUUUUCCCAGCUUUCUGCUCAGCUCCUGGGGGGAGGCAUCUCUUGUGAGGCAGAGCAGGUGCAGCAGCUCAGUUCCUUCCUCUUCUUCCAAAGACACUAAUUCUGUCACACGGUCCUCACCCUCAUGACCUGAUCUAAUCCUAGUGACCUCCCAAAGGCAGCUCCAAAACAAGUAACCUGUAACCUGGGGAUUCAGAUUCCAACACAUAAAGCUAAUCCCCAAGGUUUGGGGGAUACAUUCAAACCCUACCAGG